rnacentral:rRNA from 1 species
UUGGAGGGCAAGUCUGGUGCCAGCAGCCGCGGUAAUUCCAGCUCCAAUAGCGUAUAUUAAAAUUGUUGCAGUUAAAAAGCUCGUAGUUGAAUUUCUGCUGCAUUGCUUUUGCUCCUUUACGAGUCUUUGCAUUGUGGCUUAUUUCGGACUUUGUUUUACAAUGUCCGGAUGUUUACUUUGAGAAAAUUAGAGUGCUCAAAGCAGGCUUUCGCCUUGAAUAGUUUAGCAUGGAAUAAUAAAGUAGGACUUUGGUUCUAUUUUGUUGGUUUUAGGUACCAAAGUAAUGGUUAAAAGGAACAGUUGGGGGCAUUCGUAUUUAACUGUCAGAGGUGAAAUUCUUAG